CGCUUUCAGUAGUCCGUGAUGCGUGACAAUAUUUAGUUUUUUUCGAAUAUUGCACUAGUCCCGGCCUAUUGAGGGCGC